GCCGGGUGUGGUGGCGCACACCUGUAAUCCCAGCUACUUGGGAGGCUGGGGCAGGAGACUUGCUUGAACCCAGGAGGCAGAGGUUGCAGUGAGCCAAGAUCGUGCCAUUGCAUUCCAGCCUGGGCGACAGAGUGAGACUUUGUCUCGG
rnacentral:SRP_RNA from 1 species